AUUGAACGCUGGCGGCAGGCCUAACACAUGCAAGUCGAACGAGCGGCGGACGGGUGAGGAAUGUCUGGGAAACUGCCUGAUGGAGGGGGAUAACUACUGGAAACGGUAGCUAAUACCGCAUAACAUAAGAUGUGCCCAGAUGGGAUUAGCUAGUAGGUGGGGUAAUGGCUCACCUAGACGACGAUCCCUAGCUGGUCUGCGCGGAGGACCAGCCACACUGGAACUGAGACACGGUCCAGACUCCUACGGGAGGCAGCAGUGGGGAAUAUUGCACAAUGGGCGCAAGCCUGAUGCAGCCAUGCCGCGUGUGUGAAGAAGGCCUUCGGGUUGUAAAGCACUUUCAGCGGGGAGGCGUUACCCGCAGAAGAAGCACCGGCUAACUCCGUGCCAGCAGCCGCGGUAAUUC
rnacentral:rRNA from 1 species